CACGUAGGGGGCAAGCGUUGUCCGGAUUCAUUGGGCGUAAAGAGCGCGCAGGCGGUCGUUCAAGUCGCGUGUGAAAGCCCCCGGCUCAACUGGGGAGGGUCACGCGAUACUGAUCGACUCGAAGGCAGGAGAGGGUAGUGGAAUUCCCGGUGUAGUGGUGAAAUGCGUAGAUAUCGGGAGGAACAUCAGUGGCGAAGGCGGCUACCUGGCCCAAUACUGACACUCAGGUGCGACAGCGUGGGGAGCAAACAGG
rnacentral:rRNA from 1 species